CGAAGUGCUGAAGAACAUUUGAUUUUGCGGGUAAUCCUUGCGCAGGGGCCAUGCUAACCUUCUCUGUAUUGUUCCAACUUUAGUAUUUGUUCAGGAAUGAAA